CGGGGCGUAGCGCAGCCCGGUAGCGCACCUGCCUUGGGCGCAGGGGGUCGGAGGUUCAAAUCCUCUCGCCCCGA
rnacentral:tRNA from 1 species